CAACGCUCUCUGAGCCGUAAGCGACGGUAUAAUUCGGCACGGAAGACAGGACCGGCGCGAGUCAUUGAUCACCCGGAACCCGGAAAUCAGACACGACCGGGAAGUCAUCCGGACCCUGUGGAUGCUGAUCAUUCAUUGGACGGGUCGCUCCAACUGUUCGACGACAGCCAGUCAGAGGUCGAAGGAGUAGGGCGCCCGCUCGUGGAUUCUUUCACUCACCAGACGCCUCAGCUGAUAGGAGGCGGGAAAAAACAUUUGGAGUGAUAGUUUACGUUUCACUGCUGUAUUUAUUUAUUUAUUUUUUCACAUGAAAACAGAUACAAAGGCAACGAGCACGCCACACCUUCUGCCUGUCGCUUC